CGAAGGACCCGAGCGUUAUCCGGAUUUAUUGGGUUUAAAGGGUGCGUAGGCGGACUUGUAAGUCAGUGGUGAAAUCCUGCGGCUUAACUGCAGAACUGCCAUUGAAACUGCUUGUCUUGAGUACAUUUGAAGCGGGCGGAAUGUGUCAUGUAGCGGUGAAAUGCUUAGAUAUGACACAGAACACCGAUUGCGAAGGCAGCUCGCUAAACUGUAACUGACGCUGAGGCACGAAAGCGUGGGUAGCAAACAGGAUUAGAUACCCUGGUAGUCCACGCCCUAAACUAUGAUCACUCGAUGUGUGCGAUACACUGUACGCGUCUGAGCGAAAGCAUUAAGUGAUCCACCUGGGAAGUACGGCCGCAAGGCUG
rnacentral:rRNA from 1 species